rnacentral:rRNA from 1 species
AAUAGAUACCCUGGUAGUCCACGCCCUAAACGAUGUCAACUGGUUGUCGGGGAAGCAAUUCCUUGGUAACGAAGCUAACGCGUGAAGUUGACCGCCUGGGGAGUACGGCCGCAAGGUUAAAACUCAAAGGAAUUGACGGGGACCCGCACAAGCGGUGGAUUAUGUGGAUUAAUUCGAUGCAACGCGAAAAACCUUACCUACCCUUGACAUGUACGGAACUUGGCAGAGAUGCCUUGGUGCCCGAAAGGGAGCCGUAACACAGGUGCUGCAUGGCUGUCGUCAGCUCGUGUCGUGAGAUGUUGGGUUAGGUCCCGCAACGAGCGCAACCCUUGUCAUUAGUUGCUACAUUCAGUUGGGCACUCUAAUGAGACUGCCGGUGACAAACCGGAGGAAGGUGGGGAUGACGUCAAGUCCUCAUGGCCCUUAUGGGUAGGGCUUCACACGUAAUACAAUGGCCGGUACAGAGGGCUGCCAACCCGGCGAGGGGGAGCCUAAUCCCAGAAAGCCGGUCGUAGUCCGGAUUGUUCUCUGCAACUCGAGAGCAUG